rnacentral:rRNA from 4 species
ACGACUCUCGGCAACGGAUAUCUCGGCUCACGCAUCGAUGAAGAACGUAGCAAAAUGCGAUACUUGGUGUGAAUUGCAGAAUCCCGUGAACCAUCGAGUUUUUGAACGCAAGUUGCGCCCGAAGCCACUUGGUUGAGGGCACGUCUGCCUGGGCGUCACG